AGUUUGUUUGAGUUUAAUACUUUUUUUUUUAAAUAAAUCUUUUUAUUGGAUAUUUCAUACACACAGCAAUAUCUGACAAGUACAAUGUUUCCAGGUGUUCUCGUUGAAAGGUAAUAGGAAGUUGUCUUAUACAAUGUAAAUUGAGAACAACAGUUUUACAGUUUUAAU